CAGGUAGAUAUUUGAUAGGCA
rnacentral:miRNA from 3 species